rnacentral:rRNA from 1 species
GACGAACGCUGGCGGCGUGCUUAACACAUGCAAGUCGAACGGAAAGGCCCUGCUUUUGUGGGGUGCUCGAGUGGCGAACGGGUGAGUAACACGUGAGUAACCUGCCCUUGACUUUGGGAUAACUUCAGGAAACUGGGGCUAAUACCGGAUAGGAGCUCCUGCUGCAUGGUGGGGGUUGGAAAGUUUCGGCGGUUGGGGAUGGACUCGCGGCUUAUCAGCUUGUUGGUGGGGUAGUGGCUUACCAAGGCUUUGACGGGUAGCCGGCCUGAGAGGGUGACCGGCCACAUUGGGACUGAGAUACGGACCAGACUCCUACGGGAGGCAGCAGUGGGGAGUAUUGCACAAUGGGCGGAAGCCUGAUGCAGCAACGCCGCGUGCGGGAUGACGGCCUUCGGGUUGUAAACCGCUUUCGCCUGUGACGAAGCGGGAGUGACGGUAAUGGGUAAAGAAGCACCGGCUAACUACGUG